rnacentral:rRNA from 1 species
CGAGAGGGGGCAAGCGUUAUUCGGAAUUAUUGGGCGUAAAGGGCGCGUAGGCGGCUUUUCAAGUGAACGGGUGAAAUCCCUCGGCUUAACCGAGGAACUGCCUGUCAGACUGGAAGGCUUGAGACCGGAGAGGUGAGUGGAAUUCCCAGUGUAGCGGUGAAAUGCGUAGAUAUUGGGAGGAACACCAGUGGCGAAGGCGGCUCACUGGACCGGAACUGACGCUGAGGCGCGAAAGCGUGGGGAGCAAACAGGAUUAGAUACCCUGGUAGUCCACGCCGUAAACGAUGAGUGCUUGGUGUAGCGGGUAUCGACCCUAGCUGUGCCGAAGUCAACACAUUAAGCACUCCGCCUGGGGAGGUACGGUCGCAAGACUG